UACGUAGGGUGCAAGCGUUAAUCGGAAUUACUGGGCGUAAAGCGUGCGCAGGCGGUUGUGCAAGACAGAUGUGAAAUCCCCGGGCUCAACCUGGGAACUGCAUUUGUGACUGCUCAGCUUGAGUGCGGCAGAGGGGGAUGGAAUUCCGCGUGUAGCAGUGAAAUGCGUAGAUAUGCGGAGGAACACCGAUGGCGAAGGCAGCCCCCUGGGCCAAUACUGACGCUCAGGCACGAAAGCGUGGGGAGCAAACAGG
rnacentral:rRNA from 1 species